GAUUGCCUUAGUAACUGCGAGUGAAGCGGCAAGAGCUCAAAUUUGAAAUCUGGCACCUUCGGUGUCCGAGUUGUAAUUUGUAGAAGCAUCUUUUGGAUUGGUCCUUGCAUAUGUUCCUUGGAACAGGACAUCAUAGAGGGUGAGAAUCCCGUUCAUGGUGGGGAAUCCAAUUCUUUGUAAAGUGCUUUCGAAGAGUCGAGUUGUUUGGGAAUGCAGCUCUAAGUGGGUGGUAAAUUCCAUCUAAAGCUAAAUAUUGGCGAGAGACCGAUAGCGAACAAGUACAGUGAUGGAAAGAUGAAAAGAACUCCGAAAGGAGAGUGAAAAAGGACGUGAAAUUGUUGAAAGGGAAGUGCUUGAGAUCAGUCUUAAGGUUUAGUGAUCAGUCUUCCUUUUGGUUGGUGCACUCACUAUUUCUUAGGCCAACAUCAGUUUUGGCGGCAGGAUAAUGACAUUGGAAUGUGGCUCUUUCGAGAGUGUUAUAGCCUUUGUUGAUACUGCCUGCUUAGACUGAGGACUGCGCUUUUGCUAGGAUGUUGGCAUAAUGAUCUUAAGCAGC
rnacentral:rRNA from 1 species